rnacentral:lncRNA from 1 species
CUCCUUUCCCACCCCUCCAAAAAAGGGCUGCAGGUGGUUAUAGCAUUUUCUGUUUGGAAGUUAGAGGCUGUGGUCACUCUUCUAGUUUGGAACUGGGAGAACAGAAGGGUUGGAGGUCAGGCAGCGCGGCCUCCUGUUUGUGUGUUUUCCUCUCUGACCCUGUUUUGCAGGACUGGUUGGAGCUGUGUAUUGGGACAGUGAUGCCUUGGCCUGAUCUGACAGAGGUGAUGGGCCAGAAUUUGGUAUGAGACAUCCACACACACACACACAGCUUGAGCUCACCAGUUUCGUCCUUGUAAGAAGCCAAUGAAGACACAUGGACAAAAGAUUCUUCGCCGGCUCUUUGAAAGACGCUUCCAUGGGUGUUCUGCAGCCGGGCUGGGAGCCUGCAGCACUGCACAGAUGCAGAUGUUCACUCCAGCCACUGUCAGGCACUUCCAAGGGUGCCCAAGGCAAUAGCCAUGACCCUUUGCUUCCUGUCUUCGGUGAGAACACAUAGAUGCCUUCAGCCUGUCCCCAAUGAGGACAUGUAGAUGGUGAUCCAGUGACUUCAGUGAUGUCCUGCGCCAUGCAAGAAGCAGCUGUCCUGACUCAUGCCCUGCUUUCUCCAUCAGUAAUCUGAGCCCCUUUUGCAUGUAUUGUUGAUGAGGACUGGGCUUUCACAGGAGAUGGGAUUUAAGAAGCAACUUGUGC